rnacentral:tRNA from 1 species
GCUCCCAUGGCGUAGUGGUCACUGCGCUCGCCUUGCGCGGGAGACCCGGGUUCGAUUCCCGGCGGGGUCA